rnacentral:rRNA from 1 species
AAAUCCUUGGUGUGUCACCGAGGAUAACGUAAGGGAAAAUAAUGAUAUUACCUUACUAUUAGUGUCGUCCAAAUGCUCGUGCCAGAAGACUCGGUAAGGCGAGAGACGCAAACGUUAAUCAUCUUGAUCAGGCGUAAAGGGUUUGUAGGCGGCUUUAAGUAUUUGAUAUUAAGUUUACAAUUAUAAUCUUUUUUAAAAUAAAAAUAUUAUAAUAUUUAUUAAAGGAUCAAUUAAAGCUAGAAUCUAACAGAGGUUAAAACAAUACUUACAGUAGGUGUACAAACCACAGAUAGUAAGUAGAGUGUUAAGGGCGAAGGCAUUUAUCCACUGAAGAUUGACGCUGAGAAACGAAGGUGAGGACAGAAAAAAGGAUUAGAGACCCUUGUAUCCCUCACUGUCAACGAUGAAUGGUAGUUACUAGGGAGAAAUAAACUAGAGACGAUGUUAACACGAAAACCAUUCCGCCUUGUGAGUACGACUGCAAAGUUAAAAACAAAAAAAUU